GGGCAUGUUCAGCCCGUCUUGCUCAGUCUCGAUGGGCCAGACCCCAGCACCAAGCUAACCUGCUGGUCGGAGUGUCUACCCGCUGUUGGUCAGUGGGGGUGAUAGUGACU